rnacentral:rRNA from 1 species
UACGGAGGGAGCUAGCGUUGUUCGGAAUUACUGGGCGUAAAGCGCGCGUAGGCGGCUUUGUAAGUUAGAGGUGAAAGCCCGGAGCUCAACUCCGGAACUGCCUUUAAAACUGCAUCGCUUGAAUCCAGGAGAGGUGAGUGGAAUUCCGAGUGUAGAGGUGAAAUUCGUAGAUAUUCGGAAGAACACCAGUGGCGAAGGCGACUCACUGGACAUGUAUUGACGCUGAGGUGCGAAAAGCGUGGGGGAGCAAACAGG